rnacentral:rRNA from 1 species
UUUGGAAUAUUGGACAAUGGGCGAAAGCCUGAUCCAGCGACGCCGCGUGGACGAUGAAGGUCUUCGGAUUGUAAAGUCCUUUUGGCAGGGAACAAUUUUUGAGCGUACCUGCAGAAUAAGAGGUUGCUAACUCUGUGCCAGCAGCAGCGGUAAUACAGAGACCUCAAGCGUUAUCCGGAAUCAUUGGGCGUAAAGCGUACCGAUAGGUGGCUUUGCAAGUCAGAAGUGAAAUCUUCAAGCUUAACUUGGAGACUGUCUUUUGAAACUGCAAAGCUAGAGGGGCAAAGAGGAAGCUGGAACGAACGGUGUAGUAGUGAAAUGCGUUGAUAUCGUUCGGAACACCAAUAGCGUAGGCAGGCUUCUGGGUGCCACCUGACACUGCUAGGACGAAAGCGUGGGG